AGAGUUUGAUCAUGGCUCAGGAUGAACGCUGGCGGCGUGCGUAAUACAUGCAAGUCGAACGAGGUGCUUGAGUAGCAACACAAGAGUAUCCUAGUGGCGAACGGGUGAGUAACGCGUGGAUGACCUGCCCCAAAGUGUGGGAUAACAGUCCGAAAGGAUUGCUAAUACCUCAUGUGGUUAUUGGAUUUAGAAACUGAUAACUAAAGCAGCAAUGCGCUUUGGGAGGGAUCUGCGUCCCAUCAGCUAGUUGGUGAGGUAACGGCUCACCAAGGCGACGACGGGUAGGGGACCUGAGAGGGUGGCCCCCCACAAUGGAACUGAAACACGGUCCAUACACCUACGGGUGGCAGCAGUAGGGAAUAUUGCUCAAUGGGCGAAAGCCUGAAGCAGCAACGCCGCGUGUGCGAUGAAGGCCUUCGGGUCGUAAAGCACUUUUCUGAGAGAUGAGAAAGGACAGUAUCUCAGGAAUAAGUCUCGGCUAACUACGUGCCAGCAGCCGCGGUAAAACGUAGGAGGCGAGCGUUAUCCGGAUUCACUGGGCGUAAAGCGCGUGCAGGCGGUUCGGUAAGUUGGGCGUGAAAUCUCCUGGCUUAACUAGGAGAGGUCGUUCAAUACUACCGGGCUUGAGAGUGGUAGAGGAAGAUGGAAUUCCAGGUGUAGUGGUGAAAUGCGUAGAUAUCUGGAGGAACACCAGUGGCGAAAGCGAUCUUCUGGACCAUUUCUGACGCUCAGACGCGAAAGCUAGGGUAGUAAACGGGAUUAGAGACCCCGGUAAUCCUAGCCGUAAACGAUGUAAACUUGGCGUCGGUGGCUUAAACUCCAUCGGUGCCGUAGCUAACGCGAUAAGUUUACCGCCUGGGGACUACGAUCGCAAGAUUAAAACUCAAAGGAAUUGACGG
rnacentral:rRNA from 1 species